CAGUAGCGCGGUAAAACAGAGGGUGCGAGCGUUAAUCGGAUUUACUGGGCGUAAAGCGUGCGUAGGCGGCUUCUUAAGUCGGAUGUGAAAUCCCUGAGCUUAACUUAGGAAUUGCAUUCGAUACUGGGAAGCUAGAGUAUGGGAGAGGAUGGUAGAAUUCCAGGUGUAGCGGUGAAAUGCGUAGAGAUCUGGAGGAAUACCGAUGGCGAAGGCAGCCAUCUGGCCUAAUACUGACGCUGAGGUACGAAAGCAUGGGGAGCAAACAGGAUUAGAUACCCCAGUAGUCCCUGUCUCUUAUACA
rnacentral:rRNA from 1 species